GUCUUAAGGGCAUUUGGUGGAUGCCUUGGCAUGCACAGGCGAUGAAGGACGUGAUACGCUGCGAUAAGCGUCGGGGAGGUGCGAAUACCCUUUGAUCCGACGAUUUCCGAAUGGGGCAACCCACCUUAGAUAACUAGAAAAUCUGUUUUGUUGGAGCGAAGCUUUAUGGGUAAGUGCCCAUACAGACCGCUAGGUCGUCGGCCCGUGUGGGCCGCCCCCGCGGAGCGCCAGCAUUCCUCUGGAAUGCGUACGGCGCGUGAGCGAGAACAACACAGCUUUCUAGUUAUCGUAAUAAGGUAUCUAACUCUGAAUACAUAGGGGUUAGAAGCGAACCUGGGGAACUGAAACAUCUAAGUACCCAGAGGAAAGGACAUCAAACGAGACUCCGCUAGUAGUGGCGAGCGAACGCGGACCAGGCCA
rnacentral:rRNA from 2 species